CUGUGAGCUCGAUGAGUAGGGCGGGACACGUGGUAUCCUGUCUGAAUAUGGGGGGACCAUCCUCCAAGGCUAAAUACUCCUGACUGACCGAUAGUGAACCAGUACCGUGAGGGAAAGGCGAAAAGAACCCCGGCGAGGGGAGUGAAAAAGAACCUGAAACCGUGUACGUACAAGCAGUGGGAGCACGCUUCGGCGUGUGACUGCGUACCUUUUGUAUAAUGGGUCAGCGACUUAUAUUCUGUAGCAAGGUUAACCGAAUAGGGGAGCCGAAGGGAAACCGAGUCUUAACUGGGCGUUAAGUUGCAGGGUAUAGACCCGAAACCCGGUGAUCUAGCCAUGGGCAGGUUGAAGGUUGGGUAACACUAACUGGAGGACCGAACCGACUAAUGUUGAAAAAUUAGCGGAUGACUUGUGGCUGGGGGUGAAAGGCCAAUCAAACCGGGAGAUAGCUGGUUCUCCCCGAAAGCUAUUUAGGUAGCGCCUCGUGAAUUCAUCUCCGGGGGUAGAGCACUGUUUCGGCAAGGGGGUCAUCCCGACUUACCAACCCGAUGCAAACUGCGAAUACCGGAGAAUGUUAUCACGGGAGACACACGGCGGGUGCUAACGUCCGUCGUGAAGAGGGAAACAACCCAGACCGCCAGCUAAGGUCCCAAAGUCAUGGUUAAGUGGGAAACGAUGUGGGAAGGCCCAGACAGCCAGGAUGUUGGCUUAGAAGCAGCCAUCAUUUAAAGAAAGCGUAAUAGCUCACUGGUCGAGUCGGCCUGCGCGGAAGAUGUAACGGGGCUAAACCAUGCACCGAAGCUGCGGCAGCGACGCUUAUGCGUUGUUGGGUAGGGGAGCGUUCUGUAAGCCUGUGAAGGUGUACUGUGAGGUAUGCUGGAGGUAUCAGAAGUGCGAAUGCUGACAUAAGUAACGAUAAAGCGGGUGAAAAGCCCGCUCGCCGGAAGACCAAGGGUUCCUGUCCAACGUUAAUCGGGGCAGGGUGAGUCGACCCCUAAGGCGAGGCCGAAAGGCGUAGUCGAUGGGAAACAGGUUAAUAUUCCUGUACUUGGUGUUACUGCGAAGGGGGGACGGAGAAGGCUAUGUUGGCCGGGCGACGGUUGUCCCGGUUUAAGCGUGUAGGCUGRUUUUCCAGGYAAAUCCGGAAAAUCAAGGCUGAGGCGUGAUGACGAGGCACUACGGUGCUGAAGYAACAAAUGCCCUGCUUCCAGGAAAAGCCUCUAAGCAUCAGGUAACAUCAAAUCGUACCCCAAACCGACACAGGUGGUCAGGUAGAGAAUACCAAGGCGCUUGAGAGAACUCGGGUGAAGGAACUAGGCAAAAUGGUGCCGUAACUUCGGGAGAAGGCACGCUGAUACGUAGGUGAAGUCCCUCGCGGAUGGAGCUGAAAUCAGUCGAAGAUACCAGCUGGCUGCAACUGUUUAUUAAAAACACAGCACUGUGCAAACACGAAAGUGGACGUAUACGGUGUGACGCCUGCCCGGUGCCGGAAGGUUAAUUGAUGGGGUUAGCGGUAACGCGAAGCUCUUGAUCGAAGCCCCGGUAAACGGCGGCCGUAACUAUAACGGUCCUAAGGUAGCGAAAUUCCUUGUCGGGUAAGUUCCGACCUGCACGAAUGGCGUAAUGAUGGCCAGGCUGUCUCCACCCGAGACUCAGUGAAAUUGAACUCGCUGUGAAGAUGCAGUGUACCCGCGGCAAGACGGAAAGACCCCGUGAACCUUUACUAUAGCUUGACACUGAACAUUGAGCCUUGAUGUGUAGGAUAGGUGGGAGGCUUUGAAGUGUGGACGCCAGUCUGCAUGGAGCCGACCUUGAAAUACCACCCUUUAAUGUUUGAUGUUCUAACGUUGACCCGUGAUCCGGGUUGCGGACAGUGUCUGGUGGGUAGUUUGACUGGGGCGGUCUCCUCCUAAAGAGUAACGGAGGAGCACGAAGGUUGGCUAAUCCUGGUCGGACAUCAGGAGGUUAGUGCAAUGGCAUAAGCCAGCUUGACUGCGAGCGUGACGGCGCGAGCAGGUGCGAAAGCAGGUCAUAGUGAUCCGGUGGUUCUGAAUGGAAGGGCCAUCGCUCAACGGAUAAAAGGUACUCCGGGGAUAACAGGCUGAUACCGCCCAAGAGUUCAUAUCGACGGCGGUGUUUGGCACCUCGAUGUCGGCUCAUCACAUCCUGGGGCUGAAGUAGGUCCCAAGGGUAUGGCUGUUCGCCAUUUAAAGUGGUACGCGAGCUGGGUUUAGAACGUCGUGAGACAGUUCGGUCCCUAUCUGCCGUGGGCGCUGGAGAACUGAGGGGGGCUGCUCCUAGUACGAGAGGACCGGAGUGGACGCAUCACUGGUGUUCGGGUUGUCAUGCCAAUGGCACUGCCCGGUAGCUAAAUGCGGAAGAGAUAAGUGCUGAAAGCAUCUAAGCACGAAACUUGCCCCGAGAUGAGUUCUCCCUGACUCCUUGAGAGUCCUGAAGGAACGUUGAAGACGACGACGUUGAUAGGCCGGGUGUGUAAGCGCAGCGAUGCGUUGAGCUAACCGGUACUAAUGAACCGUGAGGCUUAACCUUACAACGCCGAAG
rnacentral:rRNA from 1 species